AGCCUGAUGCAGCCAUGCCGCGUGUAUGAAGAAGGCCUUCGGGUUGUAAAGUACUUUCAGUUGUGAGGAAGGGGGUGUCGUUAAUAGCGGCAUCUCUUGACGUUAGCAACAGAAGAAGCACCGGCUAACUCCGUGCCAGCAGCCGCGGUAAUACGGAGGGUGCGAGCGUUAAUCGGAAUUACUGGGCGUAAAGCGCAUGCAGGUGGUUCAUUAAGUCAGAUGUGAAAGCCCGGGGCUCAACCUCGGAACUGCAUUUGAAACUGGUGAACUAGAGUACUGUAGAGGGGGGUAGAAUUUCAGGUGUAGCGGUGAAAUGCGUAGAGAUCUGAAGGAAUACCAGUGGCGAAGGCGGCCCCCUGGACAGAUACUGACACUCAGAUGCGAAAGCGUGGGGAGCAAACAGGAUUAGAUACCCUGGUAGUCCACGCCGUAAACGAUGUCUACUUGGAGGUUGUGGCCUUGAGCCGUGGCUUUCGGAGCUAACGCGUUAAGUAGACCGCCUGGG
rnacentral:rRNA from 1 species